rnacentral:rRNA from 1 species
GAUGAACGCUAGCGGCAGGCUUAAUACAUGCAAGUCGAGGGACAGCACAGGUAGCAAUACUGGGUGGUAACCGGCAAACGGGUGCGGAACACGUACACAACCUUCCUUUAAGUGGGGGAUAGCCCAGAGAAAUUUGGAUUAAUACCCCGUAAUAUAGUUGAAUGGCAUCAUUUGAUUAUUAUAGCUACGGCGCUUAAUGAUGGGUGUGCGGCUGAUUAGAUAGUUGGCGGGGUAACGGCCCACCAAGUCUACGAUCAGUAGCUGAUGUGAGAGCAUGAUCAGCCAAACAGGCACUGAGACACGGGCCCGACCCCUACGGGAGGCAGCAGUAAGGAAUAUUGGUCAAUGGACGCAAGUCUGAACCAGCCAUGCCGCGUGAAGGAUUAAGGUCCUCUGGAUUGUAAACUUCUUUUAUUUGGGACGAAAAAGGGCCUUUCUAGGUCAACUGACGGUACCAGAUGAAUAAGCACCGGCUAACUCCGUGCCAGCCGCCGCCGUUAAAA